rnacentral:rRNA from 1 species
UACGUAGGGUGCGAGCGUUAAUCGGAAUUACUGGGCGUAAAGCGUGCGCAGGCGGUCUCGUAAGACAGGUGUGAAAUCCCCGGGCUUAACCUGGGAACUGCGCUUGUGACUGCGAGGCUGGAGUGUGGCAGAGGGAGGUGGAAUUCCACGUGUAGCAGUGAAAUGCGUAGAGAUGUGGAGGAACACCGAUGGCGAAGGCAGCCUCCUGGGCCAGCACUGACGCUCAUGCACGAAAGCGUGGGGAGCAAACAGG